UGAAUGCGAGGAAACGAAGGGUCUAGACUCAGAGACUUUCUGCCAAGCCCACUACUGUUUGUCCCCAGGCUUGGCAGGAAGGGAGGGUGAAAACCUGAGCUCCUUUCUGACAUGCUUUGUUUAAAUGCAAAGUGUGUGUGUUCGUGUCCGUGUCCGUGUCCGUGUGCGUGUGUGUGUGCUGCUCACAGUCUACGAAACUCAUGUGUCGGAUCACAGCUGAGCUAGCUGUGUUCGGCAAACAGCACUGCAACGAAUAUGCAGCGGCCGUACCCCCACUGGCAGCAGCGGGAGGCUGAGGUGCCCUGCGGACCCUCUGCAGCAUGAGUGAGCACCCCAGCGCCGCUGCACUGCGCUGUGCCCUGCACUGAGAGGAGCCAGGCCCUUCCUGGAAAAGAGGCUUCUGGAGCCAGAGGGCCUGACGCGCACACAUGUUAUCAGUGAGUGAGUGAGUGAAGGAAGUGAGCACAGGAAGGAACUGAGAGGAUGCUGGCCUUGGAUCCACAGAGAGUGAGGUCAAGCCUGAAUGCGGUGUCCACGAGCCUCCCAGGCAGGGAGGGCAGCCUCAAGGUAGGCUGAUCCGGGGGUCCUUCAGGAAGGAGGCCAG